ensembl:snRNA U5 U5 spliceosomal RNA
AUUCUCUGGUUUCUCUUCAGAUCGCAUACAUCUUUUGCCUUUUACUAAAGAUUUCCAUGGAGAGGAACAAUUCUGAGUCUUAACCCAAUUUUUUGAGGCCUUGCUCCUGCAAGGCU